AUACAGAGGAGCCAAGCGUUGUCCGGAUUGACUGGGCGUAAAGCGCACGCAGGCGGAUGCGCGCGUGGGGUGUGAAAUCUGGCCGCUUAACGGCCAGGCGCCAUCCCAUACGGCGCGUCUGGCGUGAUGCAGAGGUCGGUGGCAGUGCCGGUGUAGUGGUGAAAUGCGUAGAGAUCGGCAGGAACAACCAGGGGGAAACCAGCCGACUGGGCAUCUACUGACGCUGAGGUGCGAGAGCGUGGGGAGCGAACCGGAUUAGAUACCCGGGUAGUCCACGCCGUAAACGAUGGCCACUCGGCCUUUGGUGGCGGAAUCUCCGUCGCUGGGGGCCUUAGCUAACGCGGGAAGUGGCCCGCCUGGGAACUACGAGCGCAAGCUUAAAACUCAAAUGAAUUGACGGGG
rnacentral:rRNA from 1 species